CAUAGCUCACUGCAGCUUUGAGCCGUCUUCCCACUCAGUCUACUAAGCUUGGACUAUAGGCCAAGACUAUAGAGUGGUCCUUCUUUCCAUUCUUUUGGGACCAUGAGAGGCCACCCAUGUUUCCUGCCCCUGCUGGGCCCCCUGCUGCUCAGAAGGCAUGGUCUGAGGCUUCCACCUUGGGUCGUGAGCCUGGCGUGGUGGUUUCUGGCCAGCAUGGGGGUUGGGAUGCUGUGGCUCAGGCCUUCUGCAUGGUUUCCCACACUCUCUUCUCCUCCUCAGGACUGGAUCAUCGCGCCCGAAGGCUACGCCGCCUACUACUGUGAGGGGGAGUGUGCCUUCCCUCUGAACUCCUACAUGAACGCCACCAACCACGCCAUCGUGCAGACGCUGGUCCACUUCAUCAACCCGGAAACGGUGCCCAAGCCCUGCUGUGCGCCCACGCAGCUCAAUGCCAUCUCCGUCCUCUACUUCGAUGACAGCUCCAACGUCAUCCUGAAGAAAUACAGAAACAUGGUGGUCCGGGCCUGUGGCUGCCACUAGCUCCUCCGAGAAUUCACACCCUUUGGGGCCAAGUUUUUCUGG
rnacentral:sRNA from 1 species